rnacentral:rRNA from 1 species
GACGAACGCUGGCGGCGUGCUUAACACAUGCAAGUCGAACGGAAAGGCCCUGCUUUUGUGGGGUGCUCGAGUGGCGAACGGGUGAGUAACACGUGAGUAACCUGCCCUUGACUUUGGGAUAACUUCAGGAAACUGGGGCUAAUACCGGAUAGGAGCUCCUGCUGCAUGGUGGGGGUUGGAAAGUUUCGGCGGUUGGGGAUGGACUCGCGGCUUAUCAGCUUGUUGGUGGGGUAGUGGCUUACCAAGGCUUUGACGGGUAGCCGGCCUGAGAGGGUGACCGGCCACAUUGGGACUGAGAUACGGCCCAGACCCCUACGGGAGGCAGCAGUGGGGAAUAUUGCACAAUGGGCGGAAGCCUGAUGCAGCAACGCCGCGUGCGGGAUGACGGCCUUCGGGUUGUAAACCGAUUUCGCCUGUGACGAAGCGUGAGUGACGGUAAUGGGUAAAGAAGCACCGGCUAACUACGUG